rnacentral:rRNA from 1 species
AUUGAACGCUGGCGGCAGGCCUAACACAUGCAAGUCGAGUGGAUGAAGGGAGCUUGCUCCUGGAUUCAGCGGCGGACGGGUGAGUAAUGCCUAGGAAUCUGCCUGGUAGUGGGGGAUAACGUCCGGAAACGGGCGCUAAUACUGCAUACGUCCUGAGGGAGAUAGUGGGGGAUCUUCGGACCUCACGCUAUCAGAUGAGCCUAGGUCGGAUUAGCUAGUUGGUGGGGUAAAGGCCUACCAAGGCGACGAUCCGUAACUGGUCUGAGAGGAUGAUCAGUCACACUGGAACGUGGACACGGUCCAGACUCCUACGGGAGGCAGCAGUGUGGAAUAUUAGACAAUGGGCGAAAGCCUGAUCCAGCCAUGCCGCGUGUGUGAAGAAGGUCUUCGGAUUGUAAAGCACUUUAAGUUGGUAGGAAGGGCAGUAAGUUAAUACCUUGCUGUUUUGACGUUACCAACAGAAUAAGCACCGGCUAACUUCGUG